AGAGCGGAGUGGGGCGUUUAGGGGUUUGGUGGUGUGCGAGAGGCUUUCCUACGAGGAGAGGGAAAUUCAUUCAACAGGGACUCAAAUUAAAAUUACACCGGACCCAUAAGCUAGGACCCACGGUGCUACACUCCCGGUGUGUGUGGUCACUUGUGUGCGAGGCUUUAGGACUUGGGAAAGUCGAGUUCUGAUUGGACAGUGCCGUAAUGGGCUGGGGCUGCUAGCCGAAUGUUAUUCCGUUCCUGGCUGCCUAGCAGCAUGAGACAUCGCACCCUAAGCUCCAGCCCGGCCCUCUGGGCCUCUAUCCCGUGUCCACGCUCUGAGCUGCGUCUGGACUUGGUUUUAGCUUCUGGACAGUCCUUCCGGUGGAAGGAGCAGAGCCCUGCUCACUGGAGUGGCGUGCUGGCAGAUCAAGUAUGGACACUGACUCAGACGGAGGACCAGCUCUAUUGCACUGUGUACCGAGGAGACGACAGCCAGGUCAGCAGGCCCACCCUAGAGGAGCUGGAAACCCUACACAAGUACUUUCAGCUAGAUGUCAGCCUGGCACAGCUGUAUAGCCACUGGGCUUCUGUAGACUCCCACUUCCAAAGAGUGGCCCAGAAAUUCCAAGGUCCCCCUGGAGCCUCAAGGUGUAGUGUCUGAUGUGGAGGGAUUCGAGGUGUGUCCCCAGGCUCCGACCUUUCUGCUCUCCAGGUGUGAGACUGCUGAGACAAGACCCCACUGAGUGCCUUUUCUCUUUCAUCUGUUCCUCCAACAACAACAUUGCUCGCAUUACUGGCAUGGUGGAACGGCUCUGCCAGGCCUUUGGACCUCGACUCAUUCAGCUUGAUGAUGUCACUUAUCAUGGCUUCCCAAACCUCCAUGCCCUGGCUGGUCCAGAAGCAGAGACUCACCUGAGGAAGUUGGGCCUGGGGUACCGUGCCCGCUAUGUACGUGCCAGUGCCAAAGCCAUCCUCGAAGAGCAAGGUGGGCCAGCUUGGCUGCAGCAGCUUCGAGUGGCCCCUUAUGAAGAGGCCCACAAGGCCCUCUGCACCCUGCCCGGGGUGGGCGCCAAGGUGGCUGACUGCAUCUGCUUAAUGGCCCUUGACAAACCCCAGGCUGUGCCCGUGGAUGUCCAUGUAUGGCAGAUUGCCCAUCGUGACUACGGCUGGCAUCCUAAGACAUCCCAGGCUAAGGGCCCGAGCCCUUUGGCCAACAAAGAACUGGGAAACUUUUUCCGGAAUCUGUGGGGACCUUAUGCUGGCUGGGCCCAAGCAGUGCUGUUCAGUGCUGACCUUCGCCAACCAAGCCUGUCUCGGGAGCCACCAGCAAAGCGCAAAAAGGGAUCUAAGAGGCCAGAGGGCUAGGUAGGGCUCAGGGGCAAAAGGUCUUUUUUCCUUUGUUCUCCAUUUCUUUCCCUUGUCUCUCCCCCCCCCCCAACCCCCGACCCCUAAGUCUCAAGUCAGAAAGACUUAACACUCCCACCUCAGAGGCCAGAACCCCAAAUCAAAGUCAGUUUUUACAAUAGGGAAAAAGGAAGCUAUUUGAGCAAACGGAACUGUCUUGUUUUAUCUUCCCUUUAUUACAAGAAGGAACAAUAAAAUAGAAACAUUUGUAUGGAAAA